UACGUAGGGUGCAAGCGUUCAUCGGAAUUACUGGGCGUAAAGCGUGCGCAGGCGGUUUUGUAAGUCUGUCGUGAAAUCCCCGGGCUUAACCUGGGAAUGGCGAUGGAGACCGCAAGGCUAGAGUUUGGCAGAGGGGGGUAGAAUUCCACGUGUAGCAGUGAAAUGCGUAGAGAUGUGGAGGAACACCGAUGGCGAAGGCAGCCCCCUGGGUCAAAACUGACGCUCAUGCACGAAAGCGUGGGGAGCAAACAGG
rnacentral:rRNA from 1 species